GGUCGCCUCGCCCGCUGCCGCGCUAUGCCCGCCGCCGGCUCCGAGCUGCCGCGCCCGAUGUCGCCGCCCGCCGCGCAGGAGCAGGGCGCCGAGUCGCGGCCGCCGCCGCCGCACGGGGAGCUGCAGUACUUGGGGCAGAUCGAGCACAUUCUCCGCUGCGGCUUUCGGAAGGAUGACCGCACAGGCACCGGCACCCUGUCGGUGUUCGGCAUGCAGGCGCGCUACAGCCUGAGAGAUGAAUUUCCUCUGCUGACAACCAAACGUGUUUUCUGGAAGGGUGUUUUGGAGGAGUUGCUGUGGUUUAUCAAGGGAUCCACAAACGCUAAGGAGCUGUCUUCCAAGGGAGUGAAAAUCUGGGAUGCUAAUGGGUCCCGAGACUUCUUGGACAGCCUGGGAUUCUCCACCAGAGCAGAAGGGGAUUUAGGCCCAGUUUAUGGCUUUCAGUGGAGGCAUUUUGGGGCCGAAUACAAAGAGAUGGAUUCAGAUUAUUCAGAUAAAGGAGUAGAUCAACUGCAAAAAGUGAUUGACACAAUCAAAACCAACCCUGACGACAGAAGAAUCAUCCUGUGUGCUUGGAAUCCAAAAGAUGUCCCUCUCAUGGCCCUACCCCCGUGCCAUGCCCUUUGCCAGUUCUACGUGGUGAACGGUGAGCUGUCCUGCCAGCUGUACCAGAGGUCAGGAGACAUGGGCCUGGGUGUGCCCUUUAACAUCGCCAGCUACGCCCUGCUCACCUACAUGAUCGCACACAUCACGGGCCUGAAGCCAGGUGACUUUGUACACACUUUGGGAGAUGCACACAUUUACCUGAAUCACAUUGAGCCGCUGAAAAUUCAGCUUCAGCGAGAACCAAGGCCUUUCCCCAAGCUCAAAAUACUUCGAAAAGUUGAGAAAAUUGAUGACUUCAAGGCUGAAGACUUUCAGAUUGAAGGCUACAAUCCUCACCCGACCAUUAAAAUGGAAAUGGCUGUUUAGAGUGCUUUUGAAGGAGUUGUUUGAAGGAUAUUUACAGGUGAAAGUUCAUUUUGCUCUAAAGGAGAAGGAACUAGGUCAAAACCUGUUGGUGAUCUAUCAGUUAUUAUUCAUUAACUUUUAAGGAUGUUGCCACUGGCAAAUAGAACUGUGCUGGUUCUCUUAGUAAUAAAAGACCUGGAGUUAGGGUAACUCACUGAGGAUGUAUGUAAAUGUAGAGAUUGUGAAUACAGACAGGAAGGAGAAAAUAUAUAUACUCUUAAUUCAAACUUUGUUUUUAUGAAAAUGGUCAGUGAAUUUCAAGAAUUAUGUAUAACUAUUGCCCAAAUUGGAGCAAGCUGGAUAACACCAUCAGUCAUAAUGCUUAGUGUGGUUAUGAACAUAUUUGUUUUAUAUCUUGCUGUAAUGUUCUGCAUUCAUGUUUUGUUUUGUUUUUUAAUUCCAUGUUGCCAUUUAUCUGCUCAGUUCCUGCCUAAAACAGAUUUAACUGAACCCUCCUAAACAAACAUACCUGUGCUGUGUUCUCUUUUGGAUGCUGCUUAGAUGGUUUAAUGUCUAGGUACCAGCACUUGAUAGAAAUUUUAACAUCUUCCUGGACUUUGAGACAGUUGGAUCUACUUUUGUUUAAAGAUUACAUAGGAGAAUGUUUUUUGCUGAAAGAAUCAAGUAAUGAUGACUAAGCUGAUGCCUGAGGUUAGUAUGACUUUCAGCUGAACUUGUUCUGAUUGGUAGGAUGAAUUUUUUUUUCUAUUUUUGUAAAACCAUACCCAAGAAAUUUUAAGCCUUUUCACUUAAAGCAAAAGCUGUUAAGCAUUCAGCUCUAAUUCCCUUGAGCAGCAAGGAGCUUCUCCCAAACUUCACCAUCUGGAUACUGGUGUUUCUUUACAGACUCCUCCUUCAUUUCUGUUGAAUAACCAGCAUCCUAUCAAAGACAAAAAAUGGAAUCAUGUUAAUAACCACCUAGAACAAAAGUCAUUUAUUUUACUUAUUUCUGCUGUUCCUAGAAAUGCUUUUAAAUCUAAGUCAGAGGCAACUGAAUUAAUGUUUUAAAAAUAAGUUUGCAGGUUGUUUGAAAUGGGGGAGAGGGACGUCCUUUAUUGGCUGCUUCUCAGGAUUAGUGAACUAUUCACACCCUUUGAUAGUUCAACCUCUGUUGGUGAAAAUGAGCCCCGAUCUCUUGAAUAGACGGAUAAAUGGCGCAGACAACACAACUGCAGUCAGAACCUUUCACUAACUUGCUAGAUGGUGCCGGGGUUUUUUUUUAGUUUUGUUUUGUUUGGGGCAGGAAGGACCCAAGGAGUGCAUGUUUUCAGGUCCAGCUGGUGAGGAAAGGCUGGCGUGAGAGAAGCCUUGUCGGGGGCAUCCUGACCUUCAGGUCUGGGGAAUUUGACUAAAGAGCGAUAUGUUUCUAGAUAUUGAAAACAGACUUGAAGGAGACAAAGCUUUGUGCUCUGGGGUCUAGCUCCUGAGAAGAGUAGGGCAGGGCUGGCAGUGCCUCCUCGGGGAUGGGGGUGGGGCCUCCCUGGCCAAACUCACCUUAGGAGGCAUGUAGGAAGCCUUCUUGAUUAUCACGGGGUACUUGAAGUGCUCGUGCAGGUGGUCGACGUAUUCACACAUCCUGGGAGGAAGGAAUCGGGUUGGGGUAAAAAUGCCUUCAGUUAGAUAGUUCAUGUGGUGCUGUUAGGGCAAAGGGGCGAGCACCACUAAGAAAGGAUGGACUCUGCCAAGGCCUGGCUGAUACCAUGUAUUUCUAUGUAAGUCCCUCAGCCUCUGGACUUCAGGUUCUUCUCUGUAAGGUAAAGCAGUAUGGGGGAUUGGAUGAAAUGAACUGUGAAGUAUCUUUUAACUUAAGGUUUUGGGAACCAAAAGGCAUCAAUUUAGACUUAGACGUAUCUGGGAUUUGGGUGCCUCUAGCCAAAAGGUGAACAGAUUAAAGUCACCAAAUGAGGUCCCUUCCAGCUACACAAAUGAUUUAGAAGAGCACAGGUUUUAGGAUCAGACCAAUCUGUUCAAAUUUGGUGUCAGCCACUGUCUAGUUUUGUGACUUGGGGCAAGUGACCUAACUCUACUGCCUUACUUCAGCCAUUGGUUAAUGAACAGCUGAGAUGAGCAGGCCAUGUGUCCAGUGCUGGGGACACAAAGGAACUGGUAAGAGAGGGCCUUGUGGUUUCAAUGGCCGUAGAUACCAAGUUGUUGACUAUAAUAUGUACUGUGUAUAAUCUAUAAAGAACAGGCUACAGAUGAAGAACCGGCCGCUUGGGAGAGGACAGCGGGCCUUGAAGAAUGAAUAGGGAAGCGGUGCUCCACACACAGGGUUACAAAGCAGGUGACAGCACACGGCAUCUCUGUCUGGUGGCUGUCCCUCCUGCAUGGUGGCAUUCCCAAACAGUGAGGUCUGCUUUCAGGGGGUGGCAUGAGGUUCUCACCCACUCAUGGGCGGGCAUAGUGCCCAGUGGGUCAGAGCUGACCCUCUUUUGUAUUCCUCAAAACUUUGCAGGACCUGUCAAGGUUGGUUGGAGCCCCUCCCUUAGUCCUGCUUUAAGGAACUGAAAUGAGGGGGCAAAAGCAGAAUAACCCAGGAGUGUUCGUUUUUCUAGUUUAAAAUAUCUCAGGUUUAAAAUACCCAGCUGCAGAAAGAACCAUUACUUUAUAGUUGAAGUCCCCGUAGACCCUCACAGGUCCCACUUCUCAAUCCUGAACUUGAUGUUCACCUUUCCCGUGCAUGUCCUCAUGCUUUCACUGUAUACUCCUAGUGAUCUUUCUGCACUAUUGCAUUUAAUUCUUGGAGGAGAGAAAGGCAUAAUAAAGUUGUAUGUCUGCAGGUGA